UAUUUUUUUUUGUUGUUGACAUAAAUGGAAGCUUUAGGAUGGGUCUGUAAUUUGCUAGGUUAUUUGCGGUUUCUUCUCGCGCUAUGUCGAAGAAAGACGGGCGCUACUUUUCUCCUGUUGAAUAUGAACUGUCUGACUCUUUCUUUGUGAAUCUUGAGUCUGAAAAAUCUCCCGAGUCAGUAGAGUGAUUAUCCGUCACUGGUCUAUCUGAGCCUGAUAGGACAAUUAAUGAACUUAUGUCGGAGUCUGCGUGCUUAUCCCGCACAACAUUGAUUGCUGUUCAAAAAGCAGAUGUGUCACUACUCCCUUUAUUCCGCUUUGCCUCAUCUGAUAUUAACAUUGAUGAAGAACCACAAUGUUUUUUCUUUCAGGACGGUGUUCUAAUGAGGACGUGGAUGUUCCAGAACAUGGUGUGAUUCAGUAACGAGUGGGCGGAGAGACACCCUUUAAAAGCUGAGGCACUUUGUGCAGACGGAGAGAAGAGGAGGGAGAGACUUGUGCUCUGGCCACCACGCCUGUUGUUGAUCUCCACGUUAUGUUUUGAUUCUGUUGUAGUUAUUUCCUAAAUUCAGUUUUGUAUAAUUUACUUCAUUGUUUAAUAAAUCUCUUAGACAACUGA